GACGAAGGAUGCAAGCGUUAUCCGGAUUCAUUGGGUUUAAAGGGAGCGUAGGCGGCCUUGUAAGUCAGUGGUGAAAUCUUCCCGCUUAACGGGAAAACUGCCAUUGAUACUGCUUGGCUAGAGUACAGAUGCUGUGGGCGGAAUAUGACAUGUAGUGGUGAAAUACAUAGAGAUGUCAUAGAACACCGAUUGCGAAGGCAGCUCACAAAACUGUAACUGACGCUGAGGCUCGAAAAGUGUGGGGAUCAAACAGG
rnacentral:rRNA from 1 species